rnacentral:rRNA from 1 species
GUCCUAGCCGUAAACGAUGCAUACUAGAUGUAGGAGGGCUCAACCCUUUCUGUAUCGGAGCUAACGCGUUAAGUAUGCCACCUGGGGAGUACGCUCGCAAGGGUGAAACUCAAAAGAAUUGACGGGGGCCCCGCACAAGCAGUGGAGCAUGUGGUUUAAUUCGAUGCAACGCGAAGAACCUUACCUGGGCUCGAAAUGUAGAGGACGUGGCAAGAGAUUGUCAUUCCCGAAAGGGUCUCUAUAUAGGUGCUGCAUGGCUGUCGU